rnacentral:rRNA from 1 species
GACGAACCACACGAACGUUAUUCGGAAUUACUGGGCGUAAAGGGUGCGUAGGCGGCGCGGUAAGUCGGGUGUGAAAUCUUGGAGCUUAACUCCGAAACUGCAUUCGAUACUGCCGUGCUUGAGGACUGGAAAGGAGACUGGAAUUUACGGUGUAGCGGUGAAAUGCGUAGAUAUCAAGUGGAACACCGGUGGCGAAGGCGAGUCCCUGGACAACACCUGACACUGAGGCACGAAAGCUAGGGGAGCAAACAGG